CCGACGCUCAGCAGUGCCAGGGACUCUCCCGCUGCAUGACCACCACGAUCGGGAAAGCCUCAGGGAACCCCUGCACAGCUACAGAGCAGCAAGUGAAGAAGUUGGAGAAGGAGACAGGAGAUUUGCGGACACAAAGGCGAUAGCCCAAGAGGUGAUUACAGCACAGGCUGAGAAGAGCCAGGACUUGGCACAUAAAAUGGAGCAGUUGGCACUACAAAUGGCCAGUAAGCACCAGUCUCUCUCAGGUGCGGGCAAUUAUAAGUCAGCCAUCCCAGAACCCACAGGAGUGGGACAGUAACAUUUGGAAUACCUCAUCUGACUCAGAAGUUGAGUUUGACAUAAACAGGAACCUGUUGACACCCAGGUACAGCUGCUCAUCCAAAUGCAGGGGCAACGGCAAGUGGAUGGAAACACCGUAGAGCAGUCAAGAACUUGCACGCCAAAAGAGCUACCCGAGUUCUUGACUACAUUCCAGCAACAACCAGGGGAAUCGCUGCUGGCUUGGCUGGUUAUCCUGCUGGCAUUGAUAAAUUAUUGCUGAUAUGCUGCCUCCUGUGGCAACCAACAAGCACGAUUGACCUACAAGAUCCUGCACUACAUGUGAACACAUGGAUCUGGCUAGCUCAACGAUCAGCUAACUUAUCCACUUUCUGCAUUGCGGGCGGGCGAUCUGUCAAUGAUGUGCUAACCACAUGUUAUAUGGGAAUACCAACUCCUCUUCGAAUAUUGCAAAAUUACACAUUUUUGAGAAACUUUGAUAUCCUCCACAUCCCAUUAAAUUUAUAUGGCAUGGGGACAGCUUCUCCCAUAUUAACACCCCGGACAUACUCUUUCCGAGUAGCUAAUGUGUCUAAAGCAGAUUUGUGCUUUAGCUUUGUAAAUGCUACCGCACCAAAACACAACAUGACUAAUACACAAUUAAUGUGCAACAAUACCAUGAAUAUAACCUAUGCCUCUGCCCACCUCAUAUUACCUUUGGGAUGGUUUCUCUUGUGUGGUACCACUGCUUAUAGCUAUGUGCCAGCUAAUGCUACAGGUGGCCCUUGCGCCAUCGGUCGUGUUACCUUGAGCAUCCUCCCAUUUACGACAAAACGGAGAAGAAGCCCAAGGCAUAUUUUAGAUGCCUCAUGUGAUCCCCAUAUAAACCUCUUCUCCCACAGAGAAGCCCUGGGAUUAUUAAGUCUAACUGGUAUCCCGGACGUGGUAACCCAUAAUUAUGAACAAUUGAAACAUGUCGCUUGUGCUCUGGCGCAGGUAUUAAACUGGACAUCCAGAGCCACUGCCUCCCUAAAUACAGAACGGAGUGCAGUGCGGCAAGGCACGCUGCAAAAUCAUUUGGUAAUCGAUUAUCUCCUGUUGCGGCAUGAUCAUGGAUGUCAUGAUUUUGCCAGUAUUUGUUGCCUCAACAUAACUGAUGAAUCUGCCUCUAAUGAGACUGACACUGAUCAUUUACAAAAUAUCAUUCAACAUAUUUGCCAAAGUGAUGGCGAUGCCUAGUUAGCUAAUUGGUUUGGCUCCUUAACUGGAUGGUUAGGCCACUUAAUACAAGAAGGGCUUUUGUUUAUUUUUAGUUCUGUCCUAUGUUAUGUUAUAAUAUCAAUACUCUGUAAACUCCCAUGCCCACACCUUUCAUGGUCUCAUAAAGAUGGGGAUAGUCUGUGACCAGUACCCCAUCGCGGGGGUGGAGUGUAUGGCAUACUGCAGAAGAACGUCAAGGAGACGGGCGACGGAGACCAGCGAGGCUGCCCCAUGAAGACCAGGACAAACUGUUCUGCACAUCCCGUUUAUCACAAUCUCUGGCUUGGCUUGCUCUGGUAACCACAAUAUCAUGCGAUGAUCACGAGUUCAACAUCGCCCCAUGAUGAUGAAAUCACUUUGCUUAUUGUGCAUGCACUUAUCACAUAAAAGCCUAUUAGCUCCCUCUCUCUGGGUUCCUCACCAUGGACUGAUGCUCAGCGGUGCCAGAGACUCUCCCGCUGCAUCACCAGCGCCAUCAGGAGAGCCUCGGGGAACCCUCGUAUAGCUACAGAGGUAAUAAAUGCCUUACAGCAACCCUUGUCUGCGUUGUAUUUGUGCAUCCGUCCUUGCCGGGAGUCCAGGCGGCGCCCCCGCCUCCCUCUUAGACCCACAGUAACCAGUACUAUUCUGUGCUGAUAACAGCUUUGGCCAAAAUGCAAGGAAAAGGAUCUUGGCACAGAUGGGAGGUUCAAGACACUUUUUGUUAGAUUUUAACUGGCUUUGCCAAGGACUCUUUCUGUAGUCAGCUGGCCAAAGUUCAUGUUUGCAGAAAAUACGGAACUAUGCUGAAAGACAACCUAUUAUCUUUUAUAUGCAGGCAGUCUGCAGCAAUUGAGAUCAAGGACAAUACAAGUAGCACCUUCAUGCGUUUCAGAUAACACUUAUCCAAUCUCCCACACACCCAUUCACAGAGCACAGCCAGAAUCUGUGGAUCAGAAACAAUCCCAGGCAGAAUGGGGAAACCUCUCCACCGAGUCAGCUAAGAGACUGCAGUUGCAAAAGAACAGAGUUAUAAACAGUAAAUUUACAUCAGACCCUGGAAAAGCAGUAGUCUUCUGAGCUAGCUGUCUAGGCUCCACUGUUGCGCCUGUGACAUGUUCUGCAGAUCUCUAAGAAAUCUGAAUUUAAGAAUUAGUUUAAGUGAUGGAGUAUGUGGCUUAUCCUGCUUAGAAGUACUCAAGGAGAGGAAGAGGAGAACUGACUUUCUCUGCAAUCAAUUAUUGUGACUUUAACUGAAGAAGUUUAAAGCUGUAUGUACCAGAAGCACUGUUUUUCUUUCUUUGGGGGAGAGAGCAGAAGGCAGUGACGGAGACUGUACGUGCAUCUGUUAACGCUACCAAGGAAAGAAAACCUCAGCUUCCAUCUUCUGGUCAAGUAAAGACCCUCCCUCCACCAGAGGUCUGCUGAGACCACUGGAGAGAAUAGCUAAAACCAGGCAAGCUUAAGAGCCUGAAGAGAGGCACUUUUGCUCAGGUGGGAUGGCAGAACACCGAACACGGUCCAAGAGGACAGCAGCGUCCCAGGUACGUCAAGAGACCCCACAGGGAGGGCUCCUCAAAAGAAGUACCUGCAUCUGCUGCCAAGGGAGGAGCAAGCACAGGACCCAUCCCUGCCUUGUCAGGGCACUGCCUGCCUGCACCAGAAAACAGGAAUCCUGUGAACUGAGAUAGAAGACAGAUGUUGUAACAGUUGUUUGAAAGCCUCAGUUACAGGAAUGGUAAACAUUUGAUAUUCUUCAUAAUACAUUUUAAAACCUCUGUACUACAAGCAACAAUGACAAAAGUCAGGACAAAGAACAGUUCCACUAACAGUAUUUGUGCAAAGCUGCCUUCGGUUCUUAUAUGCGGUUUUGUCUGGGAUGUUUUGAUAAAUUGUAACUACUUGGUGUAGUGGAGAUGCAGCUUUUGCACGUGCUAAAUGCACUUCAGAAAGCAUUCGCCAGGUUUCACUACAAAGAUAAGGAAUUACUGUGCAUAUGCUCAGCUAAGCACACAAUUCCCCUCUUCUGCUUCUCUCCAAAGGAGAUCCAUGUCAGCCAUGAUUUCACAGCUCCUUCCACAAAGCUCAACAACCCAACGGGACUGAUGCAGACUCUGAAGACUAGAGUUCAUCUAACCCAAGAGAUUCGCUGUGAAGAGCUGGGCCCGGUGCAUCGGCGCUUUCAACGCCACAGCCCAUUCUCCCAGCUUUACUAGCGCCUUUUUCUGUAGCUGAAACUGCUCAUGCUGGAAGUCAGCUGUUUUAUGAAACUUGUUUAUUCCUCAGUGCAUCCUGAAUUUGAAAAAACAUAGUGGGUUUAGAUGAAUAAAGGAAGAGUGAAGAAACACUGUACGCUGCAAUUGCUGGGACAAUUUACCCCUUACAGGUUGACCUCCCUUCUGUCUUUUCAAAGGAUCAGCAGCAAUAGUAGAAAAACAGUAGCAAUAAACAUUUUUAUAGUCCUCUGGUCUCUAUAAAUAUAUGCAAAUAUUCUUUUGUUUCUGUAUUGCAAUCCCAAGUCUUCCAAUACUCUGCAGCUGUUUUUAUAGGUUACUUUCAUGCCCUCCAUACCAGCCAGGGAAAAUAAUUUUGGGAAAUCUCAUUGCAAACACUUUAAUUGUGCCAACAUGACUUCUUUGCCACUGUGAACAAGACCUGGGAACAGAUACUGCUUUCUGAAGCGAGUCUUUUUUUUAAGCUAGUUCAGUUCCUUGAAUCAGUUUCCAACACAGCCACAAAAUAAUUAGGUAGCAUGUUACAGUAAGAAAAAAAAAAGAAAAAGAAAAAAAAAGAAACAUCGAUGGGAGUUUAAAGUAUUUCCAAAGUAUCAAGAUGCAACCUGAGAAUGAGACAGAAGUGGGAGUACAAAGUGUUUGGUGGAUCAGCAAAAUUAACCUACGCAGAAGUGAAACAAAAAGGUUAUUCCUUAUUAUCUGGAUACUGUAAAAUAAACCCUGGCAAAUAUAUUACCUGGAAGGUAAACAAGAAGGAAUGUAAUCACAGGGUCCAUCUUUUCUGAUACACAGAAUAAUCCUGUUAAGCAGUGGCUAACAUGAACUGACCGGCUAAAUUUGAGAGACCUCCUGUACUGUUCUAGGAGGUCUCUUAUUCCACAGAAUAAUUAUAGAAUAUACAUUGCCUAACUUAAGACCUUUACAACAGAGCUAUGUCUAUAUUUAUGUACCUUUGGAGUUCUGAUUUUCUUUAGCAAGCUAAUGUUUUGCUUUUAUUUAUCUGAACUGAAAGCAGUCUCUAAAGAGAGCCACUUUCAAUGAAGCAAAGUUAAGAUUAAAGUCAGCCUGAGCAGAAGUGAAGUUGCUCGCUCUUCUAAAAAAAGAAAAAAGAAUAAACCCAGACAAUCUUAUGGGAUGCCAGACUUGGCUGUGUGUAUUUUUGUAUUGUACCCUAGAUCAAAGUCACUAAGA